rnacentral:lncRNA from 1 species
GAUGUUACUCUAAACGAUACUCGUCCUGAUUUAUUCUGGUCGCUGUUAGUAUUGGCAGAGGUGGCACCAUCAUUGUGAACGAUGUUAACGUUUUCUUCUACCAAGUGACCUCCAACUGAGCCUUCGCCCGAAAUCUCUCAACCAAAUCCACAAGCUGAGUCCCUUAUCGUUCACGGCAACACAGACUUACUGCACCGUAAUG